rnacentral:rRNA from 1 species
UGGGGAAUAUUGGACAAUGGGCGAAAGCCUGAUCCAGCCAUGCCGCGUGUGUGAAGAAGGUCUUCGGAUUGUAAAGCACUUUAAGUUGGGAGGAAGGGCAUUAACCUAAUACGUUAGUGUUUUGACGUUACCGACAGAAUAAGCACCGGCUAACUCUGUGCCAGCAGCCGCGGUAAUACAGAGGGUGCAAGCGUUAAUCGGAAUUACUGGGCGUAAAGCGCGCGUAGGUGGUUUGUUAAGUUGGAUGUGAAAUCCCCGGGCUCAACCUGGGAACUGCAUUCAAAACUGACUGACUAGAGUAUGGUAGAGGGUGGUGGAAUUUCCUGUGUAGCGGUGAAAUGCGUAGAGAUAGGAAGGAACACCAGUGGCGAAGGCGACCACCUGGACUAAUACUGACACUGAGGUGCGAAAGCGUGGGGAGCAAACA